CCUGUCUCAGAUACUUACCUGUAUAUACCUGUGGGAGGAAGAAGAAAAAGGUGUGUCCACCUAGAAUAAUUUGUUUGCUGGAAGUUCUGUUGUUGGCAGAAAAUGGAAGCUACAAACUAGUGUGGUUAUCAGCAGGGAAUGGGAUCAAAGUUUCAGUCCAACAAGUCCAGGCAACUUUCAGCUUGAAGGCCAAGGUGUUACUACUUAGAAUUUAGGGCACAGAAGGCUGGUGUGUGUCGGCAGUGAUAUUUGGGAGAAUGAGUCUGUUUGGGAGACACUUUAGGUCAUACCAGCAGCUGCUGACAUAUGAACCUCGCAGAUGAAGAUGCCAUAGCAUGGCUAUUUCUCGACUGCACUGCUGAAGAUCUGCACAGGAAGCACAAAGCUCUGGUUACCACUGGAAGCCGUCUUGCCCCCAUAAACCAGCCUUAGGAUGCCACUGAUGCUGUAUGGCAGAAUGGAGUAACAGAGAGAAUUUGCAGAAUAAAGAAGGGACAAUGCAGUCACCAGGUCAGCAUUAAGGGAAGGCUUGGCUGCAUCAUCUGCCACUCUGCUGCUGCUGACUCUGCCAGUGGGGACAGCACAUGCUUCCUUCUACGCUUGCCUGAGGUUCGUAACUUCAGAGCCCCACAGCAUUUCUGGAAGGAGUAAAAUGAGCUACAUGGUCCGGGAAGCUACUCCUAAGUAGAGUUCACAAUCAAAGGAAUAGAAGCUGGGGAAAACAAUAAAGCAGUCUUCUUCUUCUCAA
rnacentral:lncRNA from 1 species